UAAGCACGAGGUGAAAUUUUAGGGCUCAACCCUGAGACUGUUAUGCGAACUGUAAAGCUAGAGUAUAUGAGGGGUAGCUGGAAUUCAUAGUGUAGGAGUGAAAUCCGUAGAUAUUAUGAGGAACACCAAUGGCGUAGGCAGGCUACUGGCAUAUUACUGACACUGAGGCACGAAAGCGUGGGGAGCGAACGGGAUUAGAUACCCCCGGUAGUCCACGCCGUAAAACGAUGGGAUGCUA
rnacentral:rRNA from 1 species